GCCGGGAUAGCUCAGCUGGGAGAGCAACAGACUGAAGCUGCUGCCGCACGGUGGAGUUCUGGAGGUCGCGUGUUCAAUCCACGCUCCUGGCA
rnacentral:tRNA from 1 species